rnacentral:rRNA from 1 species
UACGUAGGGGCCUAGCGUUGUCCGGAUUUAUUGGGCGUAAAGAGCUCGUAGGCGGUUCGGUAAGUCAGGUGUGAAAUCUCCACGCUCAACGUGGAGGCGCCACCUGAAACUGCCGUGACUCGAGUCCGGUAGGGGAGUGUGGAAUUCCCAGUGUAGCGGUGAAAUGCGUAGAUAUUGGGAGGAACACCAGUGGCGAAGGCGGCUCACUGGACCGGAACUGACGCUGAGGCGCGAAAGCGUGGGGAGCAAACAGG